rnacentral:rRNA from 1 species
AACGAACGCUGGCGGCAUGCCUAACACAUGCAAGUCGAACGAGUGCCUUCGGGUGCUAGUGGCGCACGGGUGCGUAACGCGUGGGAACCUGCCUUUUGGUUCGGAAUAACAGUGAGAAAUUACUGCUAAUACCGGAUGAUGUCUACGGACCAAAGAUUUAUCGCCAUUAGAUGGGCCCGCGUAGGAUUAGGUAGUUGGUGGGGUAAAGGCCUACCAAGCCGACGAUCCUUAGCUGGUCUUAGAGGAUGAUCAGCCACACUGGGACUGAGACACGGCCCAGACUCCUACGGGAGGCAGCAGUGGGGAAUAUUGGACAAUGGGCGCAAGCCUGAUCCAGCAAUGCCGCGUGAGUGAUGAAGGCCUUAGGGUUGUAAAGCUCUUUUACCCGGGAUGAUAAUGACAGUACCGGGAGAAUAAGCCCCGGCUAACUCCGUGCCAGCAGCCGCCGCGG